rnacentral:rRNA from 1 species
UACGUAGGGUGCAAGCGUUGUCCGGAAUUAUUGGGCGUAAAGAGCUCGUAGGCGGCUUGUCGCGUCGGCUGUGAAAACCUGGGGCUCAACCCCGGGCCUGCAGCCGAUACGGGCAAGCUAGAAUUCGGUAGGGGAGACUGGAAUUCAUGGUGUAGCAGUGAAAUGCGUAGAGAUCAUGAGGAAGACCAGUGGCGAAGGCGGGUCUCUGGACAGUUCCUGACGCUGAGGCACGAAGGUCAGAGGAGCAAACGGG